UACGGAGGGUGCAAACGUUGCUCGGAAUCAUUGGGCGUAAAGCGCACGUAGGUGGCUUGUUAAGUCGGGUGUGAAAUCCCUGGGCUCAACCCAGGAAGUGCACUCGAAACUGGCGAACUUGAGUACUGAAGAGGGUCGCGGAAUUCCCGGUGUAGAGGUGAAAUUCGUAGAUAUCGGGAGGAACACCGGCGGCGAAGGCGGCGAUCUGGGUCGAUACUGACGCUGAGGUGCGAAAGCGUGGGGAGCAAACAGG
rnacentral:rRNA from 1 species